GGGGAUUACUGGGCGUAAGCGCACGCAGGCGGUCUGUCAAGUCGGAUGUGAAAUCCCCGGGCUCAACCUGGGAACUGCAUUCGAAACUGGCAGGCUAGAGUCUUGUAGAGGGGGGUAGAAUUCCAGGUGUAGCGGUGAAAUGCGUAGAGAUCUGGAGGAAUACCGGUGGCGAAGGCGGCCCCCUGGACAAAGACUGACGCUCAGGUGCGAAAGCGUGGGGAGCAAACAGGAUUAGAUACCCUGGUAGUCCACGCCGUAAACGAUGUCGACUUGGAGGUUGUUCCCUUGAGGAGUGGCUUCCGGAGCUAACGCGUUAAGUCGACCGCCUGGGGAGUACGGCCGCAAGGUUAAAACUCAAAUGAAUUGACGGGGGCCCGCACAAGCGGUGGAGCAUGUGGUUUAAUUCGAUGCAACGCGAAGAACCUUACCUACUCUUGACAUCCAGAGAACUUAGCAGAGAUGCUUUGGUGCCUUCGGGAACUCUGAGACAGGUGCUGCAUGGCUGUCGUCAGCUCGUGUUGUGAAAUGUUGGGUUAAGUCCCGCAACGAGCGCAACCCUUAUCCUUUGUUGCCAGCGGUUAGGCCGGGAACUCAAAGGAGACUGCCAGUGAUAAACUGGAGGAAGGUGGGGAUGACGUCAAGUCAUCAUAGCCCUUACGAGUAGGGCUACACACGUGCUACAAUGGCGCAUACAAAGAGAAGCGACCUCGCGAGAGCAAGCGGACCUCAUAAAGUGCGUCGUAGUCCGGAUUGGAGUCUGCAACUCGACUCCAUGAAGUCGGAAUCGCUAGUAAUCGUAGAUCAGAAUGCUACGGUGAAUACGUUCCCGGGCC
rnacentral:rRNA from 1 species